rnacentral:lncRNA from 10 species
GAAUCCUUUGCGGGUCCGGCCUCCGAUCCCUGUGUGGCUGUUUGGCGGGUGGGCGCUGUGUUCCUCUCUCGUAAAGCCGUGCGGUCUGUGGGCCGCCAUUCAGAAACUGGAUGGACAGCUUCGGCGGUGGGAAGGGAAGGGACAUGCUGCAGGCCACCCUCCGGCUAGAAGGAGGGAGUACUUGAGGAACAAGGUCUGCGAAAAUUGGCUGUGCUCUGUUCUAAAACUUGGAAUGGCCUCAGUACCUGGGGAAUGUGUUUAAAAUGCAGACUUAAAUGUCCGUUUCUCCAUUCUAAUUUCAGUAGUGCUGUAAGCUGUUAACACACAUGAGACUGUCUUCACUACCAAACCAAGUCUCCUAAAGCUCACUUGAAUGUCUGCUUAUUCGUGUCUCUUACUAGGUUCAAUUUCUUGGAGGCCGUGAUUAUAUCUAUUUAACGCUUUUCCUUGUACCUAAUAAAAUGUCUGGUGCGUA